rnacentral:siRNA from 1 species
CUUAAUAUUGCUGUCGAAUUACGU